AUAUGAUCCAACACAGGGCUUUUCUUGUGUGAAUGCACAACAGAAUGGAGGGUGUCAGGACUACAAAGUCCGUUUCACAUGUCCAGCGAGUUUUUGCCAACCAAAGUGUGUAACCAGGUGGUUUAAUUCUGAUAACCCUAAUACAAAUGGAGGGGACUCUGAACUCUUGACUGUCCUCCUUGGUAUGUACCCUGGAGUAAUAUGUCCGAAUCCACUUGGAAUUGAGGCUCAGACCCUCUCAGGCCAGCCAGCAUCUCAAACUGGAAACGUCUUUCAAGUAUAUAAUCCAACAACUGGGGUUUCUUGCUUAAAUGCGAAUCAAGGAGGAGGGGUUUGUGCUGAUUAUAAAGUGCGCUUCACCUGCCCAG